rnacentral:rRNA from 1 species
CCAGACUCCUACGGGAGGCAGCAGUGGGGAAUAUUGCACAAUGGGCGCAAGCCUGAUGCAGCCAUGCCGCGUGUAUGAAGAAGGCCUUCGGGUUGUAAAGUACUUUCAGCGGGGAGGAAGGUGUUGAGGUUAAUAACCUCAGCAAUUGACGUUACCCGCAGAAGAAGCACCGGCUAACUCCGUGCCAGCAGCCGCGGUAAUACGGAGGGUGCAAGCGUUAAUCGGAAUUACUGGGCGUAAAGCGCACGCAGGCGGUCUGUCAAGUCGGAUGUGAAAUCCCCGGGCUCAACCUGGGAACUGCAUUCGAAACUGGCAGGCUGGAGUCUUGUAGAGGGGGGUAGAAUUCCAGGUGUAGCGGUGAAAUGCGUAGAGAUCUGGAGGAAUACCGGUGGCGAAGGCGGCCCCCUGGACAAAGACUGACGCUCAGGUGCGAAAGCGUGGGGAGCAAACAGGAUUAGAUACCCCAGUA